AAGUCGUAACAAGGUUUCCGUAGGUGAACCUGCGGAAGGAUCAUUAACACGUAUCCAAACGUUAAAACCCCCCCCGUGUACAUUGAUUCCUGCUCUUGUAACCCGCGAAGCUUCGGAAAGUAGUUUUGAUUCAGAGACCUCUGGCCCGUGCGAAAUCACAACAGUUACAAUUCGAGCGGUAGUUCUAUAGGCCUUGUUUCCCCAAGCAGUCAGUGUCUGAAAGUGUCAGUGAUUGUGCAAGGAUAACGCUUCACGAUUCUUGUAGACCGCAUCUCGCGGGCAGGAGCUAGGCCAAAGGGUCCCCAUGCCCCCUUACAACCCCACAGUUAAAUGUGAAGCUCAAUGUAAUACAUUGGGUAAAAAACCGAACAACUGUUAACAAUGGAUAUCUUGGUUCUC
rnacentral:misc_RNA from 1 species